rnacentral:lncRNA from 1 species
AUUUUGAUUCACAUUUGUGUUUGUUUUAGGGCAUACAAGAUGACGAUGGUAUGAAGACUAUCUCAUUUCCAAAAAGCUUUGUGCAGAGCAACUAGUGCAAUGCAAGUGUUUGGUGCUUUUGGUUGAUAGAAGCUGCUGGAUGCUUUUGGUAUUUUUGAAAGAUGCAAGUCGUGCUUCUGGUUGAUACUUAGAAGUUGGUGGUUCAAAACUGAAAAACCUGUCAGGCUGUCACUUGCUUUUGGUUUCUUGUCAAACUGCUGGGCGCCUGAACACUGCUGUGCACCGUACGUCAGGCUGUCCUCAUGCAUCUGUUAACAGAUCUUUUGUCCUCUGCUGCUUAGACUGCUUUAUGAAAUUUGAAAUGUGAUGAGACUUAUGCCUUAUGGUGACUGGUGAUAGCUUAUUAGAUUAGAGUAUCAUACUUUUGGUCAUGGUCUUAUGGAAUAUGGAAUGUGAUGGGAUCAUUGGACCGCAUGGUAUGGGUCAUGGAUGUGUAAAUAAAUUAUAAUUUCAUUAUUUCAUCUCUCGUCUAUUAAGUAUUAACAGUUUAUUA